rnacentral:rRNA from 1 species
UACGUAGGGGGCGAGCGUUGUCCGGAUUCAUUGGGCGUAAAGCGCUUUAAGGCGGUUCGCUAAGUCGCGUGUGAAAACUCCAGGCUCAACCUGGAGACGCCACGUGAUACUGGCGUGACUAGAGUUCGGUAGGGGAUCACGGAAUUCCUGGUGUAGCGGUGAAAUGCGCAGAUAUCAGGAGGAACACCGGUGGCGAAGGCGGUCUGCUGGGCAGUAGCUGACACUGAGGCGCGACAGCGUGGGGAGCAAACAGG